rnacentral:lncRNA from 1 species
CUUGUGGGCACUAGACACCCUAAGUAGACAUCAUCCCCAGAGAGAGAGAGAGAGAGAGAGAGAGAGAGAGAGAGAGACUAAGAAAUAAGAAAUUUUGAAGAAUUUAAAUAAACUUUAGAGUAGGGCAACAUAGAAAAUAUGAUAAUUUUCAUGUGGAGAUCCUGCCUCUUCCAUUCACCAACUAAUAUCAAGAAAUUAAGCACUCCCGAGAGAAUCCCAUGAAGUCCAAACAAAGGAGCUCAGAUCCUGCUUCCUACAAGUUUCACCACCUUCUGAUUUCACCACAGGCUGGAG